AAGGAUUGAACACCAAGAGCAAGCCCAGAAAAUCAGGGAUCAUCCCUCUUCUACUCACAGCACAUUUUCCAAAAGGGGUCCUGGUAUCUGUGCAGAUAAAAGCAGCUCCCGCCAGGCUCAGGGAAUUCCUUCCACACGCUGGAAUGGCAGCGGGACCCGGCAGGCGGAAAAAUGCAGGCACUGGGAUUUAGGCACCCUCUGCCCGGGAUUCCCACACGGCAGCAGCCCUGGGGGCUGGGUCCUGCCACACCCUGGGCUCCUGAUGGUGUUCCCAACAGCAUCAUCUCACUGCAGGUGCCAUAAACAUCAUCUGUCUUCAUUACAGGACCUCAUAAAUAAGUUCCCAACUAAAGACCAAGCUCCCACUGAGCCCAACGAGGUUUCCCAGCGUUGGAUCAAUUUUUAACAGUUUUUGAGGAAAACCCCCGUGUGAGAACCUUCCCUGCUUUUCUGUUCUGUCAAGGGAUGAUUAAACAUUGUUUCCUGUUUGGGAGCAAAAAGCCCUUCAGGAGAAACAGAACAGAUUCAAAAUCAUUGGAGUUAUAAAUUAUUUAGGGUGGAAAAUCCCUCCAAGAUCAUCAAGUCCAAUUGUUCCCCCAGCACUGCCAAGGUCACCACUAACCCAUAGCCCCAGGUGCCACAUCCACACGGUUUUUAAACCCCUCCAGGGAUGGGGACUCUUCCACCACCCUGGGAAGCCUGUU